UACGGAGGGUGCAAGCGUUGUCCGGAUUUAUUGGGUUUAAAGGGUGCGUAGGCGGUCUUUUAAGUGAGCGGUGAAAUCCUCCAGCUUAACUGGAGAACUGCCAUUGAUACCGGAAGACUUGAGUACAGACGAGGUAGGCGGAAUUGACAGUGUAGCGGUGAAAUGCAUAGAUAUUGUCAAGAACACCGAUUGCGAAGGCAGCUUACUAGACUGUAACUGACGCUGAGGCACGAAAGUGUGGGGAUCAAACAGG
rnacentral:rRNA from 1 species